UGUACGUGAAGCCUCACCUCGUAUCGAGCAGCCUAUCAGGCGGCUCUCAGGCGUGGGCUGGCAUUCCAUUCAUUUGGGCUGCUGUCGUUGAAGAUUUUCACGUUCGAUCACUCGGACGGCGCAGGGCCACUUGAUCGCGACCCCUAGAAACGUCGGCGUCGCUUGGGUGGAACAGGGACCGUAGAUAGAGAAGGACAAACAAGGGCGGCGACGGAGGCAAAAAGGGCUCUCGGUUGGCAGUGUCGGUGGCCUUCGACCAACGACCAACGACGAGCCACAACCAAACGCAAACGGGCGUUCGUGUGCUCGAGACGAAUUUCGAUUCGAUCGCGUGGGAGACGAGCGUGAUAAGUACUUGGACACGUUCGCUGCCACGUGUAGCGCGAACGGUACACGCUGAAACUCAUUUCAAACGACAGAUGAUUAUAUUUCUCUCGUUGACGAGUACAGAGGGGGUAAACAAGAGGGGUGGGGAGGAGGAAAUAAAAGAAGGACACAUAGGUAAAUGGUGGGUUGCACGACGGUGACAUAAUCGCUUCGUGGGUUUAUUAAUGGUUCGUUCUUCGUGAUCUUUUUUCAUGAUAAAUAUUUUUAAAUUAGUUUAAAAUUACACUGAUCAAAUUUUGGAGAAGUACAAAGCUUUGGACAUGUCAAGAUAAAAAAGUGGUAUGCCAUUGGAAAUACUAUUUUAAAUAGAAUGUCAGCAAUAAUACAUUAUCGUCGGACUGAAAAAUCAUAUUUUCACAGAUACAGAAAAAAGAAUUUAAACUUGACAUGUUUUAUCGAAUGCGUCAUAUAACAUGCUAAUGAGUACGAGCGCUGACGUGUCAACAUGGGAAGCGACCUUUUCUGAAAAUAAAGAGAACCUUUUCAUUACACGUUUCUUUUUUCUACUAUUAGACCCGCCGCGGCGAGGCGUGCGAUGCAUUUACCGCCAAGUCGAAAAAUAGUGUAUGCAUCAUCGACUCGUACUAAACAAAGGGCAUAAAUUAUACAUACAUGAAUUAAUUUAUUAUCGUAUAUUGUCCACCUAAAAUUUUCAAGUAUAACAGGAAUACCAGAAAUAAAUAAUUAUUCUUUCUUAGUAUUUGAUAUUAUAAUACGUUGCCGAUUAACGAAUUUAUAAAUAAUAUAAAAUUGGGAACGAAAUUACGUGGAUAGGAAGCAAAAAUAACUAUUACUCCGGUUCAAAUAGCAAAUGUAGCAGAUCGAACCGCGAACAUUAUCUAUUAUGUGUAACAAGUAUUCAAAUAUUCAAUCUCGUAAAAUAUGCGAAGUAUAUCUAUUCGUAUCAAUUGAUUUGUAUAAUCAAGGUUCUAAACCUACCAACAAUAAGACAGUAUUUCCGUGUAGACAGCAUAUGCUUUGACAAAUUUAUCACAUUCGCCAUUACGAGUUGGGGAUUAUAUAAAAUCACCGGUCAAUUUAAUAAAUAUUCCAUGAUUUAUCCCCAGUUUAUUACAUUUACCGUAACAUUACACCGAAGACCAAGUUAUUCAUAUAAAUAUAUAAAAUUAUAAUAUAAAAUUCGCUGGCUUAUUGUAGUUACUUUUCGCUGUACUUUUCGCUGUGAAUUUUCUAUGUACUAAAUGAACGGGCGUUAGCGAUCUAGAUACAGUAUAUGUAGAUAUCUGUGUUAGAGGAUCACUAGGAAUAACGAGCUCAUAGGUCCGCGUGGGCGCAAAUGUACAAAGCUCUUUCGCUUUCUCCCUCGUGGAUACCGUUCGCCUCUUCAUUGAUUAUUUUACUUCGGCACCACUUUCCCACCUACCACCAUGUGCCCACCAUCCUGUGUUAACACGUAACUUAUACGUCCUGUAUCUAUACAUACAAUGUACACACCUUCGUGGUUCCCUCGUAUUCUUGGAUCUCGACGGAAAAGAUAUAUUCUUCCAGCGGCGUUAAUUAACCAGUUAGCUGUCGCGACCUUUUCGAAAAGUGUGUACGGUAGAACUUUGAUUAUGCGAAUUAAUCGAGGGUUGCGAUAUUUGUUUAGUAUUGUUGAAGUUAGGCUUAAUUUAGACUUUACCAUGUUACGAGGUCAAAUAUUAAGUGUUUUUUGUCGUGAUUUUUUUGCAAAGAAAAAUAUCUUCUCUUUAAGAGGAAAUUUUAAGAACGAAUUCUUUUUUAACUUUGAGAAUAUUUUGGGUAUAUUUUAAAGGGUGAUUUGAUCAUUUUUUCGUUUCGUACAGAAAUAUUUCAACAACUUCACCAUUUCUACUGUUAUAAAUUAUAAAUAGCUUCAGCUUUAAUAUUUAUACUUAUACGAAUAACUCAAACUUCAACGUAUACACUUUCAGAAAUAACUCGUGGUGUUAAUAUUAAGAGGUCGAAUUUUAACAGGCGCAUUCUUAUGAAACUUUCGCGCUUCUAAAUGAAACUUUUGAACAAUUUUUGUGUAGAAACGUGCGCAAAUUAAAUGUUGCAAAUAAUAAACGCAAUGUGUAACAAAUUCACGACUCGCUAACUAUAAAUAACAUUAAAAAUAUGUUACAUUUAUAACAUUUCGCUAUUUUUACGCAAAACGUAUGUCGAGAUUAGAUAACAAAUUCAACUUUAGUUGAGCUUCUACUCAACUGUGGAAAGUAAUCAAGAAAAAAUCAAUGGACCAAUGAAUUUUGUACAGGAAGGAACAGAAAUUCUCCACUGUACAGCCAGGAAAAUCGUCCCUUUUCAUAGGUUAGUGAACGUUACAGCAGUGUAAACGUACUAGACGUCGAACGUGCGAACACACACAUACGCGGGUGUAUGAUGCACCGGAAGCAAUACUCCCUAACACUUGGCCGGUCAUUAGUGCAGCCAGUUGGACGCGUAUACGUGAUUCUCGUGUGCCUACACGGUACAAACGCGUGGGCGUGUGCGUGUUCGUGUGCGUGUGCCGUGUGAUUACCACGAAAAGCGGCCCCAGGUUGACAGGAAAUGGUUCGAGAUAAGAUAAUGACGUCCCUCGCCUCUCCUGCAUCCGGCAGCUUUCUUCGCCGCGCAGCCGGGCUCUAAACAUUAUGUGUGAAAGGCUCCUCUUCUGUAUCGUUCCAGAACAGGUACGAACGCGUCCUUAACCGUCUUAGAGGCGAUCUGGUUCAUUUCUACCGCGGACCAUUUCAAACAUCGACAUUCUUUUACUUUUAACCCUGUAAUCUGUAACGUUAUACUCUGUGUAAUACGACAGUAUCGACGAUACUAUCGAUAGUUGACCACUUACUACCUCAACUUAUUUGCAAAAGAUAUUAUUGAACCGUAGUUUACGUAGUACAUGCAUGCACAAUGCACACAAACGUUUCAUUGAUAUCUCCGUUCCACCGAAUCGUUACGAGCUGCCCCUCUCCGCGGUAGACGAGAAUAGCGGUCGAAAUAAGACUCGUCCAAGAUUUUUCAAAAUAUACAAACCUGAACGCCGACAGUCGUAUAAAUUAAACAGAGCUCUAUUUUAACAGCGAAGCCAGCCUCCCCCGCCUACUGAUAUUUGUCAGCGUGUCUGAGUAAUCGUAUCCUGUCCGCGGUCGAUAGCGGCAAACGAAGAAAUACACAAACGUCGAACACGAGUUCGACAUGUAACCUAAAAGCAUCGCGGUAGCUUAUCGUAACUGAUCCGAAACUCGAACGUGUCUCGAGACGCUGUCACCGCCAGCGUAAACAUCGAUAGGUCGUAUUGACACGGUCGCGUGUGUUGUGUUGAUGUAUCUUUGUAGGUUAGAGUUUCCUUGUUGUGUUUCACGUUUCUCGCCUAGUGCACGGUGAAAUGUAAAUAUUGCUGGUGUCGCUUCCCUCGAUGACUCUCGAAACUGGUUUACUGGUGCGCCCACAUUCCUUCCGGCACGUAUGGCCUCUACAGUCUACACGUUUACUAGUCAUGGUUAUAAAAUAACUACCUGCAGGAUUUCACCCUGUCUGUGCUCUGUCCUCUUCUUGCCUCUUUAACACUCCCGUAACAACUAAGCAGAGAGGGAAGACUAGGAUUGCUCGGAGCCACCUUUUCUAUCGCGAAUAGGCUUACCAACCGCGCUCUUUUAACACUAGAUUUGACGAAACUCGUCAAUUUCAUGCGUAUCAGAUUUCAAUAAUACAAUUCCAGAAAAUGUUAUUAUUAUUUUCGAGUAAUUGCUCCCGUCUUUUAUCAACGCUAUAUUUACAAAGGUUAUAUUUAUAAACAGUUUAUAACUUACAAGGAACGUUUUCAAAGUGUCUUUUUUUUAUAUUGUCUGAAUUUUUUGUAUUGGCUUGUUUUCAUAUCCGAGGGACGAAACGAUCCUUUUCGACUCUUUAUGAAUUUUUGCGCCACGCCUAAGAGAUUUAAGACGGGAACGUUAUUAAUUAAAUAGCAAUUAAAUUUCACGUACCUCGAGGUAAUGCGAGCCUCGAGGGGAGAUAAAAGCUAUUACAUUUCGAACUCGUCUACGUUUAAGGGUGUGUCUAAAGGUCAACACGAACAUGCGACAAACGGAUCGCUUAUUUAUUAUUGCCAGGUUCACGCAUACAGUACGUAACUACGUUACAAAUAUCUCGCGUGCGGUCCCUGAAUCUCUCGAAUCGAUCGUUCAGCGAGACCAAGUCGAAAGGAAACAUCCGCAGGAAGUGUGUCGAUCGUUUCGAAGGCUUGCACGAGCCCGACGAUUUCUACGAAUUCAAAGCAACUCGCGGCGCCCGUUUAUUUGCGUCUGGAUCCUGCAGGCUCUUCUACCGGGUGAAAACUGUGGCCUCCAGAAUGUACGCAAAACAGCUACGUUUGGUGGUGAUCUCCGUUGGGUGGCAUACUUACGAUAAUAAUCAGAAGGAUUCUUGAAAGGAGGACAAGGGAACUCUGCGAGCGCAAAAUAUGGCAA